rnacentral:rRNA from 1 species
AGUGAACGCUGGCGGUAGGCCUAACACAUGCAAGUCGAACGGCAGCACAGUAAGAGCUUGCUCUUACGGGUGGCGAGUGGCGGACGGGUGAGGAAUACAUCGGAAUCUACUUUUUCGUGGGGGAUAGCGUAGGGAAACUUACGCUAAUACCGCAUACGACCUACGGGUGAAAGCAGGGGAUCUUCGGACCUUGCGCGAUUGAAUGAGCCGAUGUCGGAUUAGCUAGUUGGCGGGGUAAAGGCCCACCAAGGCGACGAUCCGUAGCUGGUCUGAGAGGAUGAUCAGCCACACUGGAACUGAGACACGGUCCAGACUCCUACGGGAGGCAGCAGUGGGGAAUAUUGGACAAUGGGCGCAAGCCUGAUCCAGCCUUACCGCGUGGGUGAAGAAGGCCUUCGGGUUGUAAAGCCCUUUUGUUGGGAAAGAAAAGCAGCAGGUUAAUACCCCGCUGUUCUGACGGUACCCAAAGAAUAAGCACCGGCUAACUUCGUG